CCCUAUUUGAAGCCUCAGAGUCCUCUGCUUCCAUUGGCAGAAAAGGGAAGAGCCAGUGGAGAAGCCAUAUCGGAUUCAUAAAACCCUGGCUCAGAGUGCUGUGUCUCCAGGACCUGGGACUGGGCUGCCAUGUGCUAGGCACUUGAGGACCAAAUACUGACCAGUGAAGUGGUUGAGCCGUAUCGGUCCACUGAGCCACAAGCAAUGCAUCGAAGAAAGAAUUUAAGACGGAUUUUUCAUAACCCUCUGAUGGAAUGAUAACAUCAUGCACCCAGUCUCAUCCAGAAAAGUUGAAGACACAUGAGGAGGACACCAAAGAACUCACUUCUCACAUUAUUGUUAGAAGAAACUCCAAGAGAGGUCUAAAGAGGAGAGAAAGAGAAGGAGGUGGAGAUGAGCAGCCUUACAGCAACUGUGAAUCUGCCAACAGCCUGGAGGUGGGAGGACCUCUGUACAGAUCAACAGAGAAGAUCUCCUGGAGGAAGAGCAUUGACUUAAGUCAUGGAACCACCUACCUCUUUCUACUUAAAGGCAUAUUGCAUCUCUUACUUCCUUUUGGCCAAGGGACAAGAGGAAAUAGAAAGAAAAGAAAGGUUGCACUUGGAAGCCAUGCUUGCACUUCUUCCAUUGUCAUGAGAAAAUAUGACCUCUGAAUAGUCUGCUGGUGCCAAGAACAGAAUAAAGGAUACAUGGAGUACAGCCACCCCAGCUUCCCCAUAAUGUGAAUCUGCACAAUGGGGAGAACUGCUUCAAUGACCUGCAAACUUAUGAUUAAGAAAUAAAUGGUUAUUAUUAUAUCAUAUUAAGUAUGCUUCACUGAAGCUGAUGUGUCCGAAGUACAUAUAAUUGAGUCUAGAAAGGGAGAUGUGUCUCAAAAAGAACUGUGGAUGUGAUUUUUGACAAAUGGCCUUGGUUAGAAUUAAAAACAUAGAUCUUGGAGAAGAUUGUAUUGACAGAAUAAUCUCAGCCUGAACUAAAAGGGACUAAGAUUAUGUGAGAUACAAAAGUCACCUCUCACUUUUCUGUAGGCAAGAAGCAGACUGAGAAAGCAACUCAGGAUUCAAUAAUAGUGUGUUCUCCAAUGUCUGUCUGAAAAGUAGCCAAGGAAGAGAAUGUAAAAGAAAAGAUCUCGACCUCAUCCACAGAAGGCUUUGUCAACAGUUCUCAAGAAUAAUGGACUAGGCAGAAACUUCAGGAAUUGGGAUUUAGGCUAAAUCAAGCAAUAUCUUCCCUCAGAAGGACAUGCAAUACACCUAUAUGGGCUUUCAAGAAUUGCUAGAGGACUGUUGAUUGCCAUGUGCCUCAUUAUUCUCCUUUUUUUUUUUUUUUCCUCAAUAGGACUGUUUAUUUUGGUUAUCCAGUCCUUGUUCCAUUAGUAUAUUUUGGAUGAAAUAAGGGAGAUAAUCUGUCUAUUUAGAUCAUGGGUCUGAAUCAAGAGGAGGCAUGUGUAGACCUGUUGUAGGUUAUGAGAACCUGGACUUGGACUUGAAGUCUAAUGUUAUCAGUGGGUGAGAUUUAGGUGGAGAGAUUUGUCAGGGGAUGGGAGUAUUACUUACAUAUAAGAGGAAUAUAUAUAUUUGUAAACAAAAUAGGGAGGACUGUCAUAGAUUAGAUUAUUGUUUAAAAUGAUUCACUUUCUUCCAUUAUCUUUACCUUUCCAUAUGAGUAUUUCUCUGCAUUUUAACUUUGGGCUUGGCAAGUGAUCUGUUAGGAGGCACAGUGCAAGCCACCUGAGUUGCUUGAGUUGUGGCUCUCGCCUUUUGGGCUUUGGCCAUUAUCAUGAAAAGGACAAACUCUCAGUAAUCCCAGGAGAAGAGUAAGAUAUAUGUAGAAGAGUAAGAGAUAUAUAGAAGAGAAACACUUUAAUGAUGGCUACCUGAAACAAAGCUACCACAGGUGACCAACAAAACAGCAAGAAAUAAAGACUUAUUUUUUAUUUCAUGUUAGUUUGAGGUUGUUUUGUGAAAUAUCUGUAUGACUUUUAACCCUAACCCUUUUGCUAAAAUGUCACCUUCUUAGUGACAGACUUACCCUAAUUAAAAUGACAAUCAAUAUACCCUAUCCCUCUUUUCUGAUAUAUUUUUCUCCAUAGUACUUGCCAUCUAUAAUAUUCCAUAUAAUAUUCCAAACCCUUACUCAUUUGGAGGGUUUGUCAUCUGUCUUCCCCAACUAGAAUAUAAGCUCCAUGAGGUAGAAAUUUUUUGCCUGUUUUCUUUACUGCUAUAUCCUCAGCAACCAGAAUGUUGCCUGGCACACAGUAGGUAUUCAAUAAUUUUUGUUAAAUGAAUGAUUGAAUGAAAAAAAUAAAUAUAUCGAAAAAAUUAAUAGUGGUUAUCUCCAGUUGCUGUUAAUAUAGUCGACUUUUCUUUAUAUUUUCUGUAUUUUUCAAAUCAUUCAAAAUAAGCAUAUUGGAUUUAUUUAAUAAAAAUUAAAAAACACUUUUAAAAAUUGUUUUGACUAGACAUAGACAUUGCAGGGGUGUUUUUUUUUUCCUGCUUAUUUUAGUAUUGUUGAGAUUGCCCAAUUAUCAGUAAUCAUAAUUUUGUCUUAGCAUAGGAUCUAUAGGCAGGAGACGAUUCAAAACAGAAGGCAAGGGGUCAAGUAGAGAAUAUGGAAUAACUGAGAGUUGAGAAUUGAGUCUGGGUAUAACAAAGUGUGACUCACAACCCAGACAUCUGUUCCGUAAGUCUCUGUAUGAAUCUGAACAACUUUUUUUUUUUUUUUUAGAUUUUAUUUACUUAUUUGAGAGAGAGAGAGCAAACACAAGUGGGAUGGAGAGGCAGAGGGAGAGAGAGAGAAACGGACACCCCGCUGAGCAGGAAGCCCGAUGUGGGGCUCAGUCCCUGAAUCCUGGGAUCAUGACCUGAGCCAAAGGCAGAUGCUUAACUGAUUGAGCCACCCAGAUGCCCCU
rnacentral:lncRNA from 1 species